CAGGGUCUUGCUAACUUGCUUAGAAUCUCAGUAAGUUGCAGAAGUUGGUCUAGAACUUGUGAUCCUCCUGCUUCAGCCUCCUGAAUCCCUAGGAUUACAGAGUCUUGCUAAGUUGCCUAGGCUGGCAUUGAACUUGCCAACCUCCUUCUGCCUCCCAAGUAGCUGGGAUUAAAGGCACAGCCCAACUUGAGAACCAAGUCAAAAUAAUAUAAAUGCCGGCAAAACCAAAAUUCUCAACCAACAACCCCAUAACAGAGCAGACCGCACAAAACUCGGAUCCAAAAUGACCAAACAGCCCCAGUGGAAAAGCCACAUAAGAAAACCUGCUAUAAGGAAGGUACUUCAUUAAAUCCAGCUGGAUAAAUCUUAAUUCUCAAAACUCCCUUUCUCUGCCACUUCCAGAAGCCACACCACCUUCCAAUCGCAACAUCCUCUGUAGUGACCAUCACCUCCCGUCCCUCCAAUGCCAGAAGUGUCAAGCAUCAGCCUCAUGCUCACACAGCCUAUGAAAGUGAGGUUUCUACAUCAAGGACCCCGGAAUCAACCCUCGCUUCCUGGCCUUUCCUUUGGUCCUGAGCACCCUCCUAUUUCUCUAAACUGCAAAGGGGAGGAGGGAGCAACCGAACCUUCUCUACAGCCGUUCGAGUGACUGCUAUGUUUCCAUGGCUCACUUUCCACUGUUCUUGGUGACCCCUGCAGAUUUCCCUUAUGAGUUAGUGUCCCGGAAUGUCUCUUUAUUAGGUGUCUGGAGAAGCAGAGCUGUCCUGAUGCCAGCGCCCCCACACUGAGGACUUUAUUAGUUUUUUAAUUUCUGUCUGGGUGCCCCUGCUGCAUCAAACUUUCCACAGCUGUUAGGAGCUAUUAAGUAAGUAGCCUCAUUGGGCCCUUUCCCCGCCCCCACCUCCUUCUUAAUAACAUGAGAAAUUUCUGGACAUGCUA